UGGGGAAUAUUGCACAAUGGGCGAAAGCCUGAUGCAGCAACGCCGCGUGAGGGAUGACGGCCUUCGGGUUGUAAACCUCUUUUAGUAGGGAAGAAGCGAAAGUGACGGUACCUGCAGAAAAAGCACCGGCUAACUACGUGCCAGCAGCCGCGGUAAUACGUAGGGGGCAAGCGUUGUCCGGAAUUAUUGGGCGUAAAGAGCUCGUAGGCGGUUUGUCGCGUCUGCUGUGAAAUCCCGAGGCUCAACCUCGGGUCUGCAGUGGGUACGGGCAGACUAGAGUGUGGUAGGGGAGAUUGGAAUUCCUGGUGUAGCGGUGGAAUGCGCAGAUAUCAGGAGGAACACCGAUGGCGAAGGCAGAUCUCUGGGCCAUUACUGACGCUGAGGAGCGAAAGCAUGGGGAGCGAACA
rnacentral:rRNA from 1 species